rnacentral:sRNA from 1 species
GCCAGGCAUGGUGGUGCAUACCUGUAAUCCCAGCAACUCAGGAGGCUGAGACAGGAGGAUGGCAAGUUCCAGGCCAGCCUCAGCAACUUAGCAAGGCCCUAUGUAACUCAGAAAGACCCUGUUUCUA